AACGAACGCUGGCGGCAUGCCUAACACAUGCAAGUCGAACGAGACCUUCGGGUCUAGUGGCGCACGGGUGCGUAACGCGUGGGAACCUGCCCUUAGGUUCGGAAUAACUCCCCGAAAGGGGUGCUAAUACCGGAUAAUGUCUUCGGACCAAAGAUUUAUCGCCUUUGGAUGGGCCCGCGUUGGAUUAGCUAGUUGGUAGGGUAAAAGCCUACCAAGGCGACGAUCCAUAGCUGGUCUGAGAGGAUGAUCAGCCACACUGGGACUGAGACACGGCCCAGACUCCUACGGGAGGCAGCAGUGGGGAAUAUUGGAAAAUGGGCGAAAGCCUGAUCCAGCAAUGCCGCGUGAGUGAUGAAGGCCUUAGGGUUGUAAAGCUCGUUUACCCGGGAUGAUAAUGACAGUACCGGGAGAAUAAGCUCCGGCUAACUCCGUG
rnacentral:rRNA from 1 species